CCUUAUGUAGGGAGCCCUAAGCAGCCUGGUUAUGGACAAGGAGCAUACCUUGGAGCUGGAUAUGGAAAUGGAAAUUCAUAUGGAGGAAAUGCAGGUGUGGGUGAAGCAAGCAAAUCCAAAUCAGG